GUCACGAUAGCUCAAACGGUUAAAGCAACGGCGUGUUGAGCCGAAGGUCGUGGGUUCGAUUCCCGCUCGUGACA
rnacentral:tRNA from 1 species